rnacentral:rRNA from 1 species
UACAGAGGUCUCAAGCGUUGUUCGGAAUUACUGGGCGUAAAGGGUGCGCAGGCCGCGCGGGCAGUCAAAUGUGAAAUUCUGUGGCUCAACCUCAGAAUUGCGCUUGAUACUUCCGCGCUAGAACUUUGGAGAGGAGUCUGGAAUUCUCGGUGUAGCAGUGAAAUGCGUGGAUAUCGAGAAGAACACUUAGGGCGUAGGCAAGACUCUGGACAAAUGUUGACGCUCAUGCACGAAGGCUAGGGUAGCGAACGGG